UACGUAGGGUGCAAGCGUUAAUCGGAAUUACUGGGCGUAAGCGUGCGCAGGCGGUUUUGUAAGUCUGAUGUGAAAUCCCCGGGCUCAACCUGGGAAUUGCAUUGGAGACUGCAAGGCUAGAAUCUGGCAGAGGGGGGUAGAAUUCCACGUGUAGCAGUGAAAUGCGUAGAGAUGUGGAGGAACACCGAUGGCGAAGGCAGCCCCCUGGGUCAAGAUUGACGCUCAUGCACGAAAGCGUGGGGAGCAAACAGG
rnacentral:rRNA from 1 species